rnacentral:rRNA from 1 species
UACGUAGGGUGCGAGCGUUGUCCGGAAUUACUGGGCGUAAAGAGCUCGUAGGUGGUUUGUCGCGUUGUUCGUGAAAUCCCACGGCUUAACUGUGGGCGUGCGGGCGAUACGGGCAGACUGGAGUACUGCAGGGGAGACUGGAAUUCCUGGUGUAGCGGUGGAAUGCGCAGAUAUCAGGAGGAACACCGGUGGCGAAGGCGGGUCUCUGGGGAGUAACCGACGCUGAGGAGCGAAAGCGUGGGGAGCGAACAGG